UAAACGACUCUCGGCAACGGAUAUCUCGGCUCUCGCAUCGAUGAAGAACGUAGCGAAAUGCGAUACUUGGUGUGAAUUGCAGAAUCCCGCGAACCAUCGAGUCUUUGAACGCAAGUUGCGCCCGAAGCCGUCAGGCCGAGGGCACGUCUGCCUGGGCGUCACG
rnacentral:rRNA from 2 species